AGGGAGACCUAAUUCAGGUAGGAGACGAAAAAAAAGUAGUCGCUACCAAGAAUCAAUCCCAAAAGGUCGGAGCGAGGCGAAAUUGGCUUUCAAACUAGGUUCUGGGUUCAAACAAGACCUGAAUCAGGAACAAGGGCUAUUAGCUCAGGUGGUUAGAGCGCACCCCUGAUAAGGGUGAGGUCCCUGGUUCGAGUCCAGGAUGGCCCACCUGCACAGGUGGCAAAAACAAGAGAAGCGAGGAAUCAGCACCUUAUCUUACUUAUAUAGUAAGAGAGAAUGCUGGCUCUGAGUAAAGAGUCCAGAGGAACCUUGAAAACUGCAUAGAGCUAGGUGAAAAAGCCAAAAAAGAAGACCGCAAGGUCAAGCUAAUAAGGGCUAACGGUGGAUACCUAG
rnacentral:tRNA from 5 species